GUAGGGAAUAUUGGGCAAUGGAUGAAAGUCUGACCCAGCCAUGCCGCGUGCCGGAUGAAGGCGCUCAGCGUUGUAAACGGCUUUUAUUCGGGAAGAAGAGCAGGGAUGCGUCCCUGUGUGACGGUACCGAAUGAAUAAGCACCGGCUAACUCCGUGCCAGCAGCCGCGGUAAUACGGAGGGUGCGAGCGUUGUCCGGAUUUAUUGGGUUUAAAGGGUGCGUAGGUGGCCAAAUAAGUCAGUGGUGAAAUACGGUUGCUCAACAAUCGAGGUGCCAUUGAUACUGCUUGGCUUGAAAUAAUUGGAGGCUGCCGGAAUGGAUGGUGUAGCGGUGAAAUGCAUAGAUAUCAUCCAGAACACCGAUUGCGAAGGCAGGUGGCUACGAUUUAUUUGACACUGAGGCACGAAAGCAUGGGGAGCAAACAGGAUUAGAAACCCUUGUAGUCC
rnacentral:rRNA from 1 species